UCUGGGAAAUGAUGUAAACAAAAGGCCGAAUUGUAGCGCCAUCACCUGGCAGUUUGUUCUCAGAGUGCAGCGCGAUGACAAAGACUGACCGAAGCGUUUGUCUGAUCCCAGC